AGCCAGACUCCUACGGGAGGCAGCAGUGGGGGAUAUUGCACAAUGGGGGGAACCCUGAUGCAGCGACGCCGCGUGGGUGAAGAAGCGCCUCGGCGCGUAAAGCCCUGUCAGCAGGGAAGAAAAUGACGGUACCUGAAGAAAAAGCAUCGGCUAACUCCGUGCCAGCAGCCGCGGUAAUACGGAGGAUGCGAGCGUUAUCCGGAUUUAUUGGGUUUAAAGGGUGCGCAGGCGGCCUGUUAAGUCAGCGGUAAAAGCCCGGGGCUCAACCUCGCUCCGCCGUUGAAACUGGCGUUCUUGAGUGGGCGAGAAGUAUGCGGAAUGCGUGGUGUAGCGGUGAAAUGCAUAGAUAUCACGCAGAACUCCGAUUGCGAAGGCAGCAUACCGGCGCCCAACUGACGCUGAAGCACGAAAGCGUGGGUAUCGAACAGGAUUAGAUACCCCCGUAAAG
rnacentral:rRNA from 1 species